CUGCUAAUACCCUUGGGGAUGUAUCAAGAAAAUCUCAAGAUGAAAAUUAUAUUAAUCAUGAAAUUUCAGAUGUGGAUUCUGACCUAACCAACAAAGUUAAUAGAACACAGAGUGAUUCUCAAAAUAUUUGUCAAUGGUGUGGCAAAUCUUUUGCCACUGUCAGUAAACUUGUCAAGCACAAGAUGCUUCACACAAAGGAGAAAAUAUUUGUGUGUUCUGAAUGUGAGAAAUGUUUUUCAUAUCAGUCAGCUCUUGAAAAGCACCAGAGAAUUCAUACUGGUGUAAAACCAUUUGCAUGUUCUGAGUGUGACAAAUGUUUUACCCAGAGUGGACAUCUUGCUUUGCAUAAAAGACAUCACACAGGAGAGAAGCCAUAUGUUUGCACUGAAUGUGGAAGGUGUUUUGCAAGGAACACACAUCUGGUUGGACACCAGAGGGUUCACACUGGUGUUAAGCCAUUUAAUUGUUCUGAAUGUGGGAAAAGUUUUAGUAUGAAAGGUAGUCUGGAUUCUCAUUGCAGACGCCACACAGGAGAGAAACCAUUUGUGUGUUAUGAGUGUGGAAAAGCUUAUAUUAGUAGUUCUGCACUUAGAGCACAUAAAAACAUGCAUAUACAAAUUAAAAGAUUUACAUGUACCGAGUGUCCUAAAGGUUAUUCAUCUAAAGUACUUUUUAUUAGACAUCAGAAAUCCCAUACUGGAUUAAAACAUUAAAGAGUAACUGUGCAUAGAGUAAUCCUUGCUGGUAUGUAAAAAAAUCACCUUUCUGUCUCUGAACCAAGGCCACCUUCUACCUCAGACCUAUCCUUUUUUAGUGUAGAAUUGAGUGAAGCAUGGAGCCAUUGGCUCUGCCAUUGGUCAGUUGUUGCCAGCAUGUUAUGGGUGCUGACAAAUGACUCAGAA